UACGUAGGGGGCAAGCGUUGUCCGGAUUUAUUGGCGUAAAGAGCGUGUAGGCGGCCAGACAGGUCCGUUGUGAAAACUCGAGGCUCAACCUCGAGAUGUCGAUGGAAACCGUCUGGCUAGAGUCCGGAAGAGGAGUGUGGAAUUCCUGGUGUAGCGGUGAAAUGCGCAGAUAUCAGGAAGAACACCUAUGGCGAAGGCAGCACUCUGGGACGGUACUGACGCUGAGACGCGAAAGCGUGGGGAGCGAACAGG
rnacentral:rRNA from 1 species